rnacentral:rRNA from 1 species
CUGUCUCCCCCCUCCAAUCAGUGAAACUGAUCUCUCCGUGAAGAAGCGGGGAUACAAAUAUAAGACGAGAAGACCCCAUGGAGCUUUAAACCCAACAGCACCCGUUUAUUUUCAUCCUCACAUAAGUUAGGUUAUGCCUGUUUGGUUUUAGGUUGGGGUGACCACGGAGUAUAAAACAACCUCCAUGAAAAAAGGACCAAAAAUCCUUAUUAGAGAAAGACAUUUCUAAAAUUAAUAAAUUAAUUUUUAAUGAUCCGAUAUUCGAUCAACGAACCAAGUUACCCUGGGGAUAACAGCGCAAUCCACUUCAAGAGCUCCUAUCGACAAGUGGGUUUACGACCUCGAUGUUGGAUCAGGGUAUCCUAGUGGUGCAGCAGCUACUAACGGUUCGUUUGUUCAACGAUUAAAACCCU